CACGUAGGGGGCAAGCGUUGUCCGGAAUUCUUGGGCGUAAAGAGCUCGUAGGCGGCUCGGUAAGUCAGGUGUCAAAUCCUCAGGCUCAACCUGGGGCUCCACCUGAUACUGCUGUGGCUAGAGUCCGGUAGGGGAGCGUGGAAUUCCUGGUGUAGCGGUGAAAUGCGCAGAUAUCAGGAGGAACACCAGCGGCGAAGGCGGCGCUCUGGGCCGGAACUGACGCUGAGGAGCGAAAGCGUGGGUAGCAAACAGG
rnacentral:rRNA from 1 species